rnacentral:rRNA from 1 species
UGGGGAAUUGUUCGCAAUGGGCGCAAGCCUGACGACGCAACGCCGCGUGGAGGAUGAAGGCCUUCGGGUCGUAAACUCCUUUCGAUCGAGACGAAUGGCCUCCGGGUGAACAAUCCGGAGGAGUGACGGUACCGAGAGAAGAAGCACCGGCUAACUCUGUGCCAGCAGCCGCGGUAAUACAGAGGGUGCGAGCGUUAAUCGGAAUUACUGGGCGUAAAGCGCACGUAGGUGGCGACGUAAGUCGGGUGUGAAAGCCCCGGGCUCAACCUGGGAAUUGCAUUCGAGACUGCAUUGCUGGAGUACGGAAGAGGAGGGCGGAAUUCCCGGUGUAGCGGUGAAAUGCGUAGAUAUCGGGAGGAACAUCAGUGGCGAAGGCGGCCCUCUGGUCCAGUACUGACACUCAAGUGCGAAAGCGUGGGGAGCGAAACAGGAUUAGAUACCCUUGUAGUCCCUGAGCGGGC